ensembl:lncRNA
AGAGCAUAGAGGUGAAAGUCCAGCAUCCAAGGAGAAGCUCAUUCAGAAAGCAAGAUGUAUUAUUUUACUUCCUGCACAGAUGACCAUCUCCUGAACUAAUGCUUGCAAUUUCAGUGCCACACCAAGGAUAUUCUUUGGUUUUAGGCAAGGACUAUUUGCUAUGAAUUAUGUUGUUAUUGUUUAUUUGUGCUACAGAUGAAAUAAUGUAUUUCCAUCAGAAUUUAAACAGGUGUGAAGAUGCAAGGAAGACCCUGUGUCCUGAGCAGAGAAAUGGAAAACCAACUCAGCUGCAACGUCCCCGCCAUCCCACUUUUGCCUUUUGAGUUUCAAAACCAAAAACAAUGAUUUUAAGUUAAGGUGGAUCUCAAGUCAGACAGCACCUGGAGUCCUCUUGACAAAUUCGAUUGAUUGCAGCAGAAAUGAGAAGGAAAGCUGUAAACAAGCUGCCAUUGAUUGCUGGAGUGGCAUUGGCUUCACAGGGAACUUGAAGUAACAUCAGGUUUGGGAACUGCAGCCACACGAAAUAACAAAGAACAACGGAUGUCUGCAUUUCUGAAGGGUUUGGAUUGAACUUUUACAAGCAUUGGAUUGUGCAUCAGCCGUUGCAGAAGCACCAUUCCUCAUUUUCUGUGGAGAAAGAAACAGCAGCAUUUCAUGUUCACCUGGAUGUCACACCUGGAGCUGGGAUGCCCCAGUGCUACCAUCUCACAGUGCUCUGCCAAUGGGACUGCGGGCAGUGCAUGCUGCCAGCAGCUGCUCACAUUGCACGGAAGGAACCUUUGCACCUCAUGGGAGCACGGACAGGAGUGUGUCCCACUGUGUCCCUGCCUCCUGCCCAGCUGGGUCAGUGGUGCUUUGAAGCUGGUCCGUGUAUUGGUGGUAGCUGGGCUGCUCUCCUUGUGCUGCUGAAGACUGAUCCAGGCUCAUGUCCCUGCUCAUUGCAGGGGAGCUGGACUGGAUGGCUUUUAAAGGUUCUUUCCAACUCCAAGGAUUCCAUGAUUCUCUGAUUGAGUACUUGAUACAACACUGCUUCCCUGGGGUAAAGUUAAACUCAUUUGUUCCAACUUUCUCAUUAGCUUACAAAAGCACUUUUCUCUCAUUCAUUCACACCUAAAUAUUGCACUGCUGUCUUUACAGCUGCAGGAAUGCCCAUUGCCUCUCUGACCAUUGUCCCUGCUGACAGUGCCUGUGCCCCAUCUCCCCAGACACGGUCACGCUCUACCCCCUGGUGAAACAGAAGGGCACCCACCUCUGUGUGUGUGAGGGAGAGGGCUGUGACAAAUUUCAUUUGGAUGUGAUUCAAUGAAUAAAGUACGAGGCGAUGUGCCCAGAGUGACUCAUCUGUGUGCAUAGCUGCUGGCUCCAUGGGUCUGAUGGCCGAGGGCUUUCUUGGUGAGAUGAAGUGUGAAUGCCUCCUUAGGCACGAGGCAGUAACUGCCAUGCCCAGGGUGAGGAAGCCCACUUCUGCACAGCUGCUCAUGGGCCACAGCUGGACAGCUGUGUUGUUAAAGACACAGGAAGUCUUUUUCACUGUUCCUUUAGGCAUGGGAACAGGCCACAAGCUGUCCCAGUUUCCCAUUGAAGGAAGAGCUGAGGUUUGGUGUGUGCCCAGUGGUGCCCGGUGGGAGCAGAGCUACACCAUUGGGCUGAGCCGCUUUGGGGAAUGGUGUUUAUUUUUCAUUUGGAGGGAUUUUUCCAUGUCUUCUACCCCAUGAUUAAAAGCACAGCCAGUUGCACAUCUGGUUUGCAAGGUCAGAUGCAGAACCAUCAAAAUAUUACAAGAAAGACUAUUGCAAGGUUUUAAAUUUUCCCCUGCCAAAGCUGAUAUUGGAAGGAAUACUUCAUGAAAGCCCCCUCGUGUGACAUUUCUAGCUAGAAUCAGAGAUCAAAGACCUAUUCCAUUUUCAGACUCAGGUCUUGCAUUAAAAUGUUAACCUUUUUUUUAAUGUUUCACCAUUGUAUUUGAAAUCUGGUAUAGGAGUUCAGCCGGCACAGAACAUUUCUUAGUAAGAUAUUGUAGGAAAUGAUUGAUUUUUUUCUGCAGAGAAGUUCAGCUUGUAUUAGUGAGCUGCUGGGUCAUUUGGCAAAGAAAGUUCUGGGAAAAUGACAGGUCAGAAGAACUGAUGAAGCCUGGAAAGGCACGAAGCGCAGCAGCUCCUGUUCACGGGCAACUGGAAGUGAGAAGAAUUUCUUGUAUGCCUCACUGUUAUUAAAAUAUCAAGUAUCCUUAGCUGCCAAU